GAUUAACGCUAGCGGCAGGCCUAAUACAUGCAAGUCGAACGGUAACAGGUCCAGCAAUGGAUGCUGACGAGUGGCGCACGGGUGCGUAACACGUAUGCAAUCUACCCUUAACUGGUGAAUAGCCCCGAGAAAUCGGGAUUAAUACGCCAUAAUAUUAUGAUGAGGCAUCUCAUUAUAAUUAAAGCUCCGGCGGUUUUGGAUGAGCAUGCGCGACAUUAGCUAGUUGGUGAGGUAACGGCUCACCAAGACCGCGAUGUCUAGGGGUUCUGAGAGGAUUCACCCCCACACUGGUACUGAGACACGGACCAGACUCCUACGGGAGGCUG
rnacentral:rRNA from 1 species